CACACUACUUUGCAUUACAAAGCUAGAACACACACACAGACACAGAGAGAGGCAUACACACACACAUGCCAGCAGUUCAGAGCCCUUACAUUGAAAACCUAUUGAUCUGAGUUCCAUCCCAGAGAAAACAGCAAACAACAAGUGUCUCACAUAUGUAAUCCCAACAUCCCUAAAUCCAGAUUGGAGGCUGAGAGAUUAGAACAGCUUUGAAACCUACAAACCAGCCAGACUGGAAUGCACAGAGGCUCAGAAACAUUGAGAGACCCUGUCUCACCCAGUGAAAGCAGAGAACCACCUCCUGAAGGUUAUCUUCUGCCCUUCACACACACACACACACACACACACACACACACACACACACACUCUAGCAUAGCACAAACUGGCAUAUUAAAUCAAGCACAUAAGCACACACACACUCAGAUAAUAAACAGUGUCGAUAUAUCCAUUGGUGCUCCUGUUGUGUGACUAGCAUAUAAGGAAAAUGUUUUCAGGGUCUUCUCAGUCAUCUUCAGAGUUUCUGUUUUCCAUGUGGCGUGCAUCCUGGAAAACUAUACUUGUACCAUGUGGCCCUUUCAUUCCCUUUUUAUAACUGGCUUAAGCAUACUUAGUUAAUGAUGGAGCAAUGAGAGAAACAUACGGCAUGUGAAAAUGUGUCUAAGGUUCACAGAUAUCUCAAGCUUUGAUGUUUUCAAGUUCAUCAUUCUCAAGGAAACCAAUGAACUGAACAUUUUUACAUAGUGCACUGAGCAGUUUGGGCAUACAUGUAGGAUGUGUACUUCCUCAUCUGUUUUCCUUUGACAAAUGAUGCUUCUUAAGCUAUUUUGUUUAAUCAUCUCCAUGUUACACUGUUUGAUGAUGUUGGGUAAGCCUUGGAACGUUUGAGUUUUUCACACAAGUAGAACAAAGUCUCCUCAAACCUGGUACAGAAAUGUAAACAUAGACUGCUAAGUUAGGAAUCUCCCUGAGAUGUCAUGAAUGAUUACAAGGUAGCAUCAUUAUUUGUAAUUGAAAUAAAAGUUGAUGAGGCUCCCCUUCUGACAAACAGCAUCAAAUGCAUUUUCAAAACUGGCACUUCCUAAAUGUAUCUGAUUAAAUCAGGUGGUGUUCCAUGUAUCCUAUCUAAGCAAACAUUAUGGAUUGUCUCAACUCUUUUGGCAUAAUCCACUGCUAAAUACCCCUUCAGCCUUCAGGGUAUGGAUCCUUCAGGCUCUGUCCAUGUCAUUGGAUGAUGGUUAUAUUAUUUUCUAUUGCUGUAAUAAAACACCAUGCCCAAAGCAACAUCUAGAAUGAAGGGUUUAUUCAGAGUGUGGCACAUGGUUCCAAUGGGAUACAUACAGUUUCUUCACCACCAUGAUUCAGGCCGGCAGGCAUGGUGCUGUAGCAGCAGCUGACAGUUACAUUUAGCUCUAUACAAAAAACCGAGAACUCACUAGAAAUAGCACCAGUCUUCUGAAACCCAAGACCACACAACUACUCCAACAAGGCCACACCUCCUAACCUUCCCCCCAAAUAGUUCCACUACCUGGAAACCAACAUUCAAAUAUAUGAGCCUAUGAGUCUGUUCUUCUUCAAGCUACCAUAGAGAUGCUGGAACAGGCCAUUAUGUUCAUCAACCAUAUAUAAAAAAGAGUCCUAGCUAAGGAGUAGGAAUUUGGAUGGCAUCUCCCAGAACCCUUACUUCAGCUCCAUUGUUCCCAUCUGCUGUGGGUAGUGGCACACUUUAUUUCUGCAUUUCAAAAGUCGCCCUCACUAUUCUAUUAUCCUGGGAACCUAAUGGGCAAUUGUGAAAGGCCAUGGGGAGAGCAUUAGUGUGGUGCAGAAGAGAGAGGUUUUUUUUGUUUCCAAAGCCCCGGAUUGUCACAUUAUCUUAAUCUGGAUGGAAUGUAAAAUCCUUGUCAUAAAGACAGGAGAAGACACAUUGUGUCUUUUUAUUCAUCUUCCCAGUAUAGAGAGGUAGCAAAGAACAGUAGAAAAGAAGGCAUAAAGCUGAGCAGAUCCCCUUUCAAGAUUCUCAAACUCUGGGCCUUUGACUAAAACAGAAUGGAAGCUAAAGUUUCAGGAUAUCAGCAGUUAUAGUGAUAAAAUUAGCCUGAGCAAACAAACAUUUGGGUACUAUAAAUCAAGACCCUGACAUGAACAGAUAAGAUCUAAAAUGAAUAAAAAUAAGUGAAAUUUUCAAUGAAAUCUAACAUCUCCAAAUUUCCUUAAAGGUUGACAAAAAGAAGGAAGAAUGUUUCCUUCCUCCAGUUUAUGAGCAUGACAUCGUGCCCCAGCCUCCUGCCAAUGCUCACUCAACAUCAACAUCUCAUGCUACUGACAGAGGCGACGCGUUGGACCCUCCUCAGAACUCAAAUAUGUGGAUUUUUGAUGCAAAUCCCACGGACUCCCCCUGUUAUGUAAUAAUUACUCACCCCGUGGUAUUUUCAAGUGGGGCAGCGACCACAUCAUUGCUGUUCCUCAUAUCAUCAAUAUUGUUGCUGAAAUUUGUGGCUUUGGUGAUAACGUGGGUAUUGAACCUUAUUUAGCAAUCCUGCACAGUUAAAGUUACAAGGAGAUUAACAAGUUUCCACUGAAGCACCUAUGAGGAGCUACUGGUAUCUACUGAUAGUCUGUCAGAAAUACUUUAUAAAAUUUAUAAAUUUUAA